rnacentral:lncRNA from 1 species
CUCAUAUUUACUCUCCCUCACUCUCGAUCUACACUGCAAACCCACAAAACCAUCUUCUCAAAACCUCAUGAAGGUCAAUCAGUUCCAUCUCAUUCUCAACCCUCUCCCUCUCUAUGGUCUGACCGGCGACCGGGUUCCCACCGGCGUCGUUUAACCGGCAAGCCAAACAUCCUCUCGAUCUCCCUCUCACCUUACACAAAAUCCGAUCACCGGAUUCCAGAUCCGGGCGACGAUUAUAGGCAAGACACCCCCCCCUCCGAUGAGCCCCAGCAGCGGCGGCGCGGCAAUAUGAACAACGACGGAGCACCACCACCACCACCACCGUCCGGUGGUGGUGCGGCUGCUACAAACAGGAGAGAAGGAGAGAGCUGAGAAGAAGAGAGAGAGAGAACCGGCGGUUGACGUCAUUGCCGCCGGUCGGCGUCAUUGUCCGGCGGACCAUGUCUCGGUCCAACGAGUAUUCUGCAGAAGUUCAUGUUUUGGUUCGGGUUCACGAUGCUGAGAUGGGUUCGGCGGUUCAGUGUUGAUUCAAACAACAAACCUGGUUCGAGUUUGGUCAGGCUUAGUUCAGCAGGGUGUGUCUUCGAGUUCAGGUUCGGGAUUUAGGUUCGAUUCGCGGUCAGACGGCUCGGUUCGGUUUGACUUGGUCAAACCGAGUCAACUCAGUCAAUAAAUCGGUUCGGAUUCAGUUAAACUCAGUCAAUCAGCAGCUUCGUGUCGGGUUCGGGUCUCGACUUAGUCCAACUCAGUUCGACUCGGUCAACAUUCAGUUAACUCGGUUCGGGUUCUGGGUCAAAGACAGUCAACGGGACUCGGUUCGGGUUCUUCGGGACAAAAUGGUUCAACUCAUCUUACGGGUCAACACAACUCGAUCAACCCGAGUUGACUCGGUCAAACUCAGCGGGUCAACUCAGUUGACCUGGUCAACUCGGUCAACGGCGCAUUUAUUUCGUCAUUCCUAUGGUUACUUUUCAGAAACUAUGGCACGGUUGGAAUAGGAGAACCAUCGAGGAUUCGAGUACUUAGUGGCGUUCGUUUUCUAGAAGUCUUAGCUAUAUUUGCUUCCGCUGUGCAAUGAAGAUACCAGUCCAGUCACGCCAGCUCUGAUAAUUUCGGGGUGUGACAGAUUGGUAUCAGAGCUAUAGGUUACAACGAAUUAGGUUUCUGUUGUGAUACCUAGGCUCUAACCUCACUUUUCUCUGGAACUUAGACUAUUAAGACGUUGAAUACGUACAGAACGCCUAGUAUUUGAAUAUGGUCUCCAACCGUUGCCGAAAAACAAACAGUCAAAAUCUUGUUUUCAAACAUACGCUAUUGUGUUGUUUUUACAUGGUACACAAAAACAGUCGCAUACAAUACACAAAUCUCUGAGAGUUUAGGAUACAUGCAUUUAAGACCUUCGGAAACUCAUGUUGAAGUUCAUUAAAGGUCAUCACGUAGGAACCGCGAAUAUUAACUCGGGCACACACUGUUAUCCAUAUUGUCUAUGACAUUUAACUUCCCGAGCAGGCAGCCUACGCACAACGAAAUGCUAGUGCACGAGAAUACAUGGAACUUAAAUUUUACGUCAACGGAUGUCGGAGUACAUCACAUUCUACGCGGAACGAGACGAUAGUGCAUAGGUAUACGUGAGACUUAAGCUAUACAUCAACGGAGGUUGAAGUACGUCACAUACGACCUUCGAGGUGAAGUCAUCAAGAAUACACGUGGAGCAUUACAGCGAUGAUGCUAAUCUUGUCAGCGCGAAAACUAUCGAUCAGGAAGCGGCGGUUUGGCACACGGUCCUGCAAACGACACGAGUCAUGCUAAGGAGAAGACGCAUGCCUUCGUAUUCCCCCUAUUUCAGUUAACGACGAAUACGCCAUGUUCGACAUUCCAUGGUAAUGUCACCUAACAACCGGAUAUCACACGCAACCCCAAGUAAAGUCCUUAAAUUUCUUUUAUUGAAAUUUCGACUUUCGCGUUUACUGAGUCGAUUUUCGCAUCUCUACUCCUCUUAAUGGUCAUUGCAUCACAAUAACUUCUUUCAUUUUAGCGAAUACUUAUUUGGUCCACUUCUUGAAAAUUUAUAUGUUACGCAUGCAUCGUUUGUUACGCAUGUGGUUUCGUUUCGAAUAAGCGUUUCAUCAAAGCUCAGAUAUUGUUUCGCUAAACUUAAUUAUUGAUUUGUGAUUCG